rnacentral:rRNA from 1 species
AGAGUCUGUUCCUGGCUCAGGAUGAACGCUGGCGGCGUGCUAAACACAUGCAAGUCGAACGGGAUCCUUGGAUUCGUCUAAGGUGAGAGUGGCGAACGGGUGAGUAACACGUAGGCGACCUGCCCCAAAGGGGGGGAUAACUACUGGAAACGGUAGCUAAUACCCCAUAGUAUCCUAGGGUUUGGAUACCCAUGGAUUAAAGUUCCGGCGCUUUGGGAGGGGCCUGCGGCCCAUCAGCUAGUUGGUAGGGUAAUGGCCUACCAAGGCAGAGACGGGUAGGGGGCGUGAGAGCGUGGCCCCCCACACUGGUACUGAAACACGGACCAGAUACCUACGGGUAGCAGCAGCAAGGAAUAUUGCCCAAUGGACGAAAGUCUGAGGCAGCAACGCCGCGUGGAGGAUGACGGCCUUCGGGUUGUAAACUCCUUUUCUGGGGGAAGAGAAAGGACGGUACCCCAGGAAUAAGUCUCGGCUAACUACGUGCCAGCAGCCGCGGUAAAACGUAGGAGGCGGGCGUUAUCCGGAUUUACUGGGCGUAAAGCGCGUGCAGGCGGUCCCUUAAGUCGGACGUGAAACCUCCCGGCUCAACUGGGAGAGGUCGUUCGAAACUACCAUACUUGAGGACGAUAGAGGAGAGUGGAAUUCCGGGUGUAGUGGUGAAAUGCGUAGAUAUCCGGAGGAACACCAGUGGCGAAGGCGGCUCUCUGGGCCACUCCUGACGCUAAGACGCGAAAGCUAGGGGAGAGAACGGGAUUAGAAACCCCGGUAUUCCUAGCCGUAAACGAUGGAGACUAGGUGUAGGGAGUCAGAACCUCUCUGUGCCGUAGCUAACGCAUUAAGUCUCCCGCCUGGGGAGUACGGCCGCAAGGCUAAAACUCAAAGGAAUUGACGGGUCCCCGCACAAGCAGCGGAGCGUGUGGUUUAAUUCGAGGCUACGCGAAGAACCUUACCAGGUCUUGACAUGGGUGUGGUAGGAAUCCGAAAGGUGACCGACCCCUCGGGGAGCAUUCACAGGUGCUGCAUGGCUGUCGUCAGCUCGUGCCGUGAGGUGUUAGGUUAAGUCCUUUAACGAGCGCAACCCUUGCUGUUAGUUAUACGUAUCUGGCGGGACUGCCGGUCUCAACUGGGAGGAAGGUGGGGAUGACGUCAAGUCAGCAUGGCCUUUAUAUCCUGGGCUACACACACGCUACAAUGGCCGGUACAAUGGGUCGCGAAGCCGCGAGGCGGAGCCAAUCCUACAAAGUCGGUCUCAGUUCAGAUUGCAGGCUGCAACUCGCCUGCAUGAAGUUGGAGUUGCUAGUAACCGCGCGUCAGCAAUAGUGCGGUGAAUACGUUCCCGGGCCUUGUACACACCGCCCGUCACGUCAUGGGAGCUGGUAACACCCGAAGCCGGUGCGCCAACCGCAAGGAGGCAGCUGUCGAAGGUGGGACUGGUGACUGGGACGAAGUCGUAACAAGGUAACC